rnacentral:rRNA from 1 species
CUUGUGCCAGCAGCCGCGGUAAUACAGAGGGUGCAAGCGUUAAUCGGAAUUACUGGGCGUAAAGCGCGCGUAGGUGGUUCGUUAAGUUGGAUGUGAAAUCCCCGGGCUCAACCUGGGAACUGCAUUCAGAACUGACGAGCUAGAGUAUGGUAGAGGGUGGUGGAAUUUCCUGUGUAGCGGUGAAAUGCGUAGAUAUAGGAAGGAACACCAGUGGCGAAGGCGACCACCUGGACUGAUACUGACACUGAGGUGCGAAAGCGUGGGGAGC